UUGAAAUAUAGGCAUAGUUUAACUAUCUUGUAAACAGUAGGUCAUCCGUUCGAUUCGGAUAAGCGGCACCA
rnacentral:tRNA from 1 species